rnacentral:rRNA from 1 species
CCGGAGGGAAGAUAUAUAAAUCUAUUUGGCGGACGGGUGAGUAACGCGUGGGCAACCUGCCCUGUACCGGGGGACAACAGCCAGAAAUGGCUGCUAAUACCGCAUAAGCCCCGUGUGCCGCAUGGCACACGGGGGAAAACUCCGGUGGUACAGGAUGGGCCCGCGUCUGAUUAGCUUGUUGGCGGGGUAACGGCCCACCAAGGCAGCGAUCAGUAGCCGGCUUGAGAGAGCGGACGGCCACAUUGGGACUGAGACACGGCCCAGACUCCUGCGGGAGGCAGCAGUGGGGAAUAUUGCACAAUGGGGGGAACCCUGAUGCAGCAAUGCCGCGUGGGUGAAGAAGUACCCCGGUACGUAAAGCCCUAUCAGCAGGGAAGAAAAUGACGGUACCUGGCUAAGAAGCCCCGGCUAACUACGUGCCAGCAGCCGCGGUAAUACGUAGGGGGCGAGCGUUAUCCGGAUUUACUGGGUGUAAAGGGAGCGCAGGCGGCGUGGCAAGUCAGAUGUGAAAACCCGGGGCCCAACCCCGGGACUGCAUUUGAAACUGCCAUGCUGGAGUGCCGGAGAGGCAAGUGGAAUUCCUAGUGUAGCGGUGAAAUGCG